UUUGCUUCAGUUUCUCUCAUUUCCUUAUCAGUUUAAUAUCUGAUACGUCCUCAAUGAGAGGACUUUAUAUUAAACGGAUUUUUGGGUUUGGGAGUUGGAUCCGGAGCUUGCUCCCUAAAAAUGUAGCUUUCUAGUAUUUUGCAGCUUUCCAGUAUCUGAAGGGGGUCUACAA
rnacentral:snRNA from 1 species